GCGUCAGUAGUGUAACGAUAGAGCACGCAUCCGCGGAAAGAGUGAGGUGCGGGUUCGAGUCCCGCCUGACGCG